AUACGUAGGGGGCAAGCGUUAUCCGGAAUUACUGGGUGUAAAGGGAGCGCAGACGGCUAAGCAAGUCUGAUGUGAAAGUCAUGGGCUCAACCCAUGGAUUGCAUUGGAAACUGCGAAGCUGGAGUGUCGGAGGGGUAAGCGGAAUUCCUGGUGUAGCGGUGAAAUGCAUAGAUAUCACGAAGAACUCCGAUCGCGAAGGCAGCCUUCCGGGACGUGAACGAUGCUCAUGCUCGAAGGGGCGGGUAUCAAACAGGAUUAGAUACCCUAGUAGUCCGCACAGUAAACGAUGGCCACCCGUGGUUUGGCCUGUAUGGCUGAGCCGCCAAGCGAAAGCGUUAAGUGUCCCGCCUGGGGAGUACGCCGGCAACGGUGAAACUCAAAUGAAUUGGCGGGG
rnacentral:rRNA from 1 species